rnacentral:rRNA from 1 species
AGAGUUUGAUCCUGGCUCAGGACGAACGCUGGCGGCACGCUUAACACAUGCAAGUCGAACGAGAGAAGAGGAGCUUGCUUUUCUGAUCUAGUGGCGGACGGGUGAGUAACACGUGAGCAAUCUGCCUUUCAGAGGGGGAUACCGAUUGGAAACGAUCGUUAAUACCGCAUAACAUAAUUGAACCGCAUGAUUUGAUUAUCAAAGAUUUAUCGCUGAAAGAUGAGCUCGCGUCUGAUUAGCUAGUUGGUAAGGUAACGGCUUACCAAGGCGACGAUCAGUAGCCGGACUGAGAGGUUGAUCGGCCACAUUGGGACUGAGACACGGCCCAGACUCCUACGGGAGGCAGCAGUGGGGAAUAUUGCACAAUGGAGGAAACUCUGAUGCAGCGAUGCCGCGUGAGGGAAGAAGGUUUUAGGAUUGUAAACCUCUGUCUUCAGGGACGAAAAAAGACGGUACCUGAGGAGGAAGCUCCGGCUAACUACGUGCCAGCAGCCGCGGUAAUACGGAGGGAGCGAGCGUUGUCCGGAAUUACUGGGUGUAAAGGGAGCGUAGGCGGGAUCGCAAGUCAGAUGUGAAAACUAUGGGCUUAACCCAUAAACUGCAUUUGAAACUGUGGUUCUUGAGUGAAGUAGAGGUAAGCGGAAUUCCUAGUGUAGCGGUGAAAUGCGUAGAUAUUAGGAGGAACAUCAGUGGCGAAGGCGGCUUACUGGGCUUUAACUGACGCUGAGGCUCGAAAGCGUGGGGAGCAAACAGGAUUAGAUACCCUGGUAGUCCACGCCGUAAACGAUGAUUACUAGGUGUGGGGGGACUGACCCCUUCCGUGCCGCAGCAAACGCAAUAAGUAAUCCACCUGGGGAGUACGACCGCAAGGUUGAAACUCAAAGGAAUUGACGGGGGCCCGCACAAGCAGUGGAGUAUGUGGAUUAAUUCGAAGCAACGCGAAGAACCUUACCAGGUCUUGACAUCGUAUGCAUAGCUCAGAGAUGAGUGAAAUCUCUUCGGAGACAUAUAGACAGGUGGUGCAUGGUUGUCGUCAGCUCGUGUCGUGAGAUGUUGGGUUAAGUCCCGCAACGAGCGCAACCCUUACUGUUAGUUGCUACGCAAGAGCACUCUAGCAGGACUGCCGUUGACAAAACGGAGGAAGGUGGGGAUGACGUCAAAUCAUCAUGCCCCUUAUGACCUGGGCCUCACACGUACUACAAUGGCUGUCAACAGAGGGAAGCAAAGCCGCGAGGUGGAGCGAACCCCUAAAAGCAGUCUUAGUUCGGAUUGUAGGCUGCAACCCGCCUACAUGAAGUCGGAAUUGCUAGUAAUCGCAGAUCAGCAUGCUGCGGUGAAUACGUUCCCGGGCCUUGUACACACCGCCCGUCACGCCAUGGGAGUCGGUAACACCCGAAGCCUGUAGUCUAACCGCAAGGAGGACGCAGUCGAAGGUGGGAUUGAUGACUGGGGUGAAGUCGUAACAAGGUA